AUGAACGCUAGCUACAGGCUUAACACAUGCAAGUCGAGGGGAAACGGCAUUGAGUGCUUGCACUCUUUGGACGUCGACCGGCGCACGGGUGAGUAACGCGUAUCCAACCUUCCCAUUACUGUGGGAUAACCUGCCGAAAGGCAGACUAAUACCGCAUAGUCUUCGAUGACGGCAUCAGAUUUGAAGUAAAGAUUUAUCGGUAAUGGAUGGGGAUGCGUCUGAUUAGCUUGUUGGCGGGGUAACGGCCCACCAAGGCUACGAUCAGUAGGGGUUCUGAGAGGAAGGUCCCCCACAUUGGAACUGAGACACGGUCCAAACUCCUACGGGAGGCAGCAGUGAGGAAUAUUGGUCAAUGGACGGAAGUCUGAACCAGCCAAGUAGCGUGCAGGAUGACGGCCCUAUGGGUUGUAAACUGCUUUUGUAUGGGGAUAAAGUUAGGGACGUGUCCCUAUUUGCAGGUACCAUACGAAUAAGGACCGGCUAAUUCCGUG
rnacentral:rRNA from 1 species